rnacentral:pre_miRNA from 1 species
UACAUACUCCCUCCGUCCCAAAAUUCUUGUCUUACAUUUGUCUAGAUACGGAUGUAUCUAAUACUAAAAUGUGACUUGAUACAUCCGUAUUUAGACAAAUCUAAGACAAGAAUUUUGGGACGGAGGGGAUACUUA